UGGGGAAUCUUGCGCAAUGCGCGAAAGCGUGACGCAGCAACGCCGCGUGUGGGAAGACGGCCCUCGGGUUGUAAACCACUUUCAGUUGGGACGAAGGGUGGUCCGUUAAUAGCGGCUCCACUUGACGGUACCUUCACAAGAAGCCCCGGCUAACUACGUGCCAGCAGCCGCGGUAAUACGUAGGGGGCAAGCGUUGUCCGGAAUCAUUGGGCGUAAAGCGCGUGUAGGCGGGUCGGUAAGUCUGCUCUGAAAGUCCAAGGCUCAACCUUGGGAUGCGGGUGGAUACUGCCGACCUCGAGUCCGGAAGAGGCGAGUGGAAUUCCUGGUGUAGCGGUGAAAUGCGCAGAUAUCAGGAGGAACACCAAUGGCGAAGGCAGCUCGCUGGGACGUGACUGACGCUGAGACGCGAAAGCGUGGGGAGCAAACAG
rnacentral:rRNA from 1 species